AGACCGCCACAGUGACUUGCAAGCAAGUCACUGCACUUAGGCACUGGACUACCUGAAUUUUUAAUUCAGUGACGGAAGGCUGCUGGGUGUAGUCAAGUACUUGACUUGUCGGUGCGUGUGUCAAGAUGGAAUUGACCACUCCAGUUCAGAAGCUGUGUACAGUCGUGUUUCAAUUUAGUAAAACCUUGAUCAGGGUAGUCCUAGUGAGGAGUCACAGGACUGUUUGAGUU
rnacentral:lncRNA from 1 species